UCUCUCGCUCGUUCCAACCAAAUCAGGGGCCGGCGGCAGCUAACCCUUGCACUAUGGAGGUGGCGGAGGCGGCGGCGGUAGAACCUAGCGCUAUGGACUCAUCAGUGCAGCGGACGGUGAUGACAGCCAGUGGAUGAUGGCACCUCAGGUCCAUAAAGCGUUGUCUCCUCUCCAUCGACAUGACCAGCGCCAAAGGUAUGUGUUCCUGUCAACCUCCUAUGUCGCCUUCAGUUGCUCCGUACGUUUCAGCCCACGUUCGAUGCCUCUCCUCCAGUCACACAACGACCAUCACUUUGCCUCUUUCUCUUCCCCAUGGAGGCACCUCCCCACGUUCUAGAUGCGCCAUGACUCUGGAUCGGGCGCAAGUCGCCGCAAUAGGAUAGCAGGUCUGGUGUGGUUUCAUGGUGGGUGUUCAUGAGCAGGAGGAGGUUGGGGAGGAUGCUGCCAUCACUGCCUACCACUGCUACUAGUCGUCGUGCCCCAUCCCCAACCUAGGUUGCCAGGGGCGGAGCUACAGGGUGGACAGGGUGGGCCGCGGCCCACCCUGAGAUUUUGGGCUGGUAUAUAAAGUACAGGCUAUUAGGAGAUGGGCCUGGGAAAAAAGAAGCCCAGCAAACAGCCUACGUUGCUCGUCUGCUUUGUCCUGAACGCAGCGACUACUCCGUCUUUGAUCUGCCGCCAGCAGAGCCAACCCGCCCGGCCGCCCGGAGCCACCGCCGGACCGCCCUGACGCCAAGCGGCCAGCCAGCCCCCUCGCCGCCCGGCCGGCUGCUACCCGAACUGCCGGAGCCGCCCAAUCCGCUCAGGUGCUAAGCCCGUCAGCUUCUUCCGAGAGAGCUUCUCUAGUCCUUCGCGCUCCUUGGGUUCACGGGAGUCGGGAGACUGGACGCGUGCAGCAGCCCCGAUUUCAGUUUAUCCCGAGACUGAAGUCAGAAUUAUUGAAGAAUGAAGAGGACCACGGACAUUCAAAAAACGUGCGGUUCGGCUAAUAACUUUGUCAAUGAGGACCACCCUGAUUUUAAAUCCUAGCUCCGCCACUGUAGAUUGUAUGAAGAAUACAAGAGGAAGGACCUUGAGGAAGACUGAAGAACAAGUAGCAAGCACGCAGUUUGGCAAAUGAUGCAGGCCGAUCUGGUUGUUCUAUUGGAGAUAAAAGUUUGGACAGUUUAUAGCCUCAGCGGGGAGCACAUGACAUCGAUGCCAUCACUGAGCUCAAGAUGGUGCCUUGCAAUGAUCAUUGCAGUUCUCUUCAAUACAUCAAUGUCACUUCCAAAGCGGAGUCCCUCCUAGAGGAUAGUCUCUAUUAUCAUAAGGGCGAGUGUCCAACUUGCUCUACAUAAUACAAUGAUGCCUUUAUUAGUAUCUUGUGCGGGUUAUCAGAGACAAGAACACAAUCUUGGAGUACAUGGACAUCAACGCUGAAGGUGUCGGCAGCAAUGACCUGAGUCUCUAGAUGAAGCUUUUGUGGCCAGCAAUGAAAACUGCUUAAAGAUCACAGAUUUGAGAAGGCUUGUUCAUGCUGGAUUGCUAAGGCCUAUGCUCCAGCCUGCAGGUCUAAGCUGAAUGAAAGCAUGGACUUCAACAUUUAAGUGAUGAGGCAGCUAAGUGUACGUAAGUCAAAUUCAACACAUUAAGUCUGAGUAGGUAUUUUUGGUAUUUCUUCUUGUAAAGUUGGUGAAUUGCCAUUGCAAGAAGGUAAUUUUUCGCCUUUUCACAUGUUCAAGCAUAUGUGUGUAGAUUAAAAGUUCUGUUCUUUAGAGGUGCCUUUUGAGAUACAAGGCAUGGUUUAUGUAAAUUUUAGUUUCCUUCAGUGACAUAUUAAUAGAUAUGUAUGGGUUGUCACCCUACUUUUCAAAUCAAUUUGUGUAUUUGAGAUGCCACAUUUUUGAUUAGUAGUUGUUCAGAGAACUAGAUGUUUGCCCAAGAUAAUAUUUGUUAUUGUUUAAUAUUUCUGAAUCUCUGCUGGAAUUCUAACCCUGCAUUAAUAGCAAGGUGUGCCGAUUGAUAAAUAGUGUUGUGUUUGGUCCGUGUCUAGCAGUUGGCAUAUUGACCUAUAUUUUUCCUAUAAUAAUGUCCAUAAUUUGCAUUCAGCUGAUAUUAGAUUUGGCUAAAAGAUAAAGAGACAUAUAUAGGAAUGUUGGUUGCAAACUUACCUCUUUCUAUUGUGUUGUUGGCUUUUAGGAUAGGUUGAGGAGAGUUGCCAAUGCACGAAGGUAAAAUUUCCCAUAUUAGGAGGCAAUCAGUGCAUGACUUAAUUUAAGAAUAUAUAGGUGUUCAUGCUCAUGGUUGUGCUGCCCGUUGGCACUAAAAUGUCUAGAACAUCAUUGACCUACCUAUUUGUGCUGUUGAGUCAUGUAGCAUGUAUGUGAAUUAUUAACGGACUAAUGAAUUUGUUCAUAACAAUUGACGUUUCUACCUGGAACUUCUGAUUUUAACAAAAUGAUUGCUCUUUACCCAUGAUUAUUACCAUUUGAUCGUAAGAUAGUUCACAUAUUCUAAUAGGUAAUUACAUAAUUUUAGUUCGCCCAUAUACCCUGAUUGUAUAUAUCAGCAAUUACUUUAUUUUUGACUACACAAAUUGAGCUUUAUAUUUCCUUUCCGGUGUGCCAAAACCUCAUGCACUGCACCAUGCUUCAAUUGCCUUGGGUUUUCGUUGCUUCUUUUGUGUGUUUGUCCUCAAAUUUUGGAAGAGGCGGGCUCAAGUGUGAUUGUAGUAACAAAUCAUUGGUGACCGAGCGGAGUUUGAUAGGUUGCAAAUGCAUGUUCUUUUGAAAUUCAUAAAUAAAUUCUGAAUGUUACCAACUGCAAGGCAAUUGAAUACUAAUAAUUGAUGCAGUCUGAUGCAGUCUGCUCGGUGUUCUUUUUUGGUAGGAGAGAAAAAAUUGGUGUCUUUGACACACUUGGGAUUUACGGAUCGGUUAUGCCAUGGUUGGAUGUGAAUGGGACAUUGUACAUCCAAAUUUUGUUUGGUUGAUCAGAAUAUUUGUCCGUUUGGCUGUCUUAAUGCAAUCCCAUUCGCAUAAAUUUGGCAAACAUCAGCAAAGAAUUCAGUGGCAGGGAGUGUUUGCCAUAGUGGAAACGAAGCAAAAAUUGGACGGAGCUCACAAUUUUGCUACUACCUUACUAAUAGCUUUGUCAGGAAACUAAACAAGUUGUUGAGGGAACUGCUGCUACAACCGUUGAAGAUGCAAAUAAUGUUCUAUGUGACCAAGCUAAACGCAAAAGGAUUAAUAUUGGUGCCAAGGCCACCAGCUCUGCAAAGAAAGCAAGGCAGUAGCUCUUCCAUGCCCUAGGUUGGGUGGGUACAUACGGGUAUUUUUGUGUGUUCCACUUGCUUCUCAAGCUCGAUCUGCCGCUAGGAGGUUGUGUUGCUGAAGGGAGCUUCUUCACUAUAUCACAUCGCAGCAGUGGUCUAGCCAUCCAGUCUCAAGAUCGUACCUUGGCACACUCUUGGGCAUGCACCUGAUGUAUUUUGUGCAUGUUUGCAAGGCAAGACUUUGACACUUGAAGAAUUACGUCAAGCCAAUGUCAAUACCAAUCCCCUUAUUUACAUCCCUGAACAAAUGGACUCUUAUGCGUUGUAGAUAUCAUCGUUGGCCCAACGGGCGAUGAGAUAUUCAUCGCUGCAUACCUUACUCACGUAAGCUAAAUGACCAAAGCUUUCUAUAUGAUGGACCUCUGCCUAUGUAGCUUUGUUUCAUAAAAGCAAUGUAAAUAAGCUAUCAUGAACUGAUAUCAUACCUUUCUUAUAUAUGCUAUGUAUGGACUUCA